rfam:Solanum tuberosum cultivar DM 1-3 516 R44 contig00225_1, whole genome shotgun sequence.
GUGUUCCCUAGAGUUCCCUUGACCGCUUCAUGAGGGCUUCCUUUGAUGUUGGAAGCCCUGCUGAAGUGUUUGGGGGAACUCCCGGGCUCAC